GGUUUUGUGGUGCAAUAGAUAGUGCAUUGGACUUCUAGCAUAGUGCGGUAAUUCAAAGGUUGUGGGUUCAAGUCCCACCAGAGUCA